rnacentral:rRNA from 1 species
AGAGUUUGAUCCUGGCUCAGAACGAACGCUGGCGGCAUGCCUAACACAUGCAAGUCGAACGCUCCGCAAGGGGAGUGGCGCACGGGUGAGUAACGCGUGGGAACCUGCCCUGGGGUGGGGGAUAACCGAUGGAACGUCGGCUAAUACCGCAUACGUCCUGAGGGAGAAAGAUUUAUCGCCCUGGGAGGGGCCCGCGUCGG